rnacentral:lncRNA from 1 species
UAUGUAAUAGGUUGAUUGCACUAGUUACACGAAUAUGACGCAUUGCAUUAUUUACUGUUGAUGUGGAUGGACCAAGGCGACCCCAAUAGCCCUAUUUAUGUUAUGUUAAUGAAGUCCUGAGGAGCCCGAAGGGCCGGGCAUAAUGAAGUCCUGAGGAGCCCGAAGGGCCGGGCACCAUGAUAUGUUACAGACAGAGGGAGUUUUGGUGGUCAUGUC